rnacentral:rRNA from 1 species
CGAGCGAACAGAUAAGGAGCUUGCUCCUUUGAAGUUAGCGGCGGACGGGUGAGUAACGCUGUGGGGAAA